rnacentral:rRNA from 1 species
GAUGAACGCUGGCGGCGUGCCUAAUACAUGCAAGUCGAGCGAAUGGAUUAAGAGCUUGCUCUUAUGAAGUUAGCGGCGGACGGGUGAGUAACACGUGGGUAACCUGCCCAUAAGACUGGGAUAACUCCGGGAAACCGGGGCUAAUACCGGAUAACAUUUUGAACCGCAUGGUUCGAAAUUGAAAGGCGGCUUCGGCUGUCACUUCUGGAUGGCACAGCGUCGCAUUAGCUAGUUGGUGAGGUAACGGCUCACCAAGGCAACGGUGCGUAGCCGACCUGAGAGGGUGAUCGGCCACACUGGGACUGAGACACGGCCCAGACUCCUACGGGAGGCAGCAGUAGGGAAUCUUCCGCAAUGGACGAAAGUCUGACGGAGCAACGCCGCGUGAGUGAUGAAGGCUUUCGGGUCGUAAAACUCUGUUGUUAGGGAAGAACAAGUGCUAGUUGAAUAAGCUGACACCUUGACGGUACCUAACCAGAAAGCCACGGCUAACUACGUGCCAGCCGCCGCAGUAA